rnacentral:lncRNA from 1 species
GGAUAAGACACAGCUUUUUUGAUUAAGGUGACUGAUAACUGAUCUGCUACACCUUGCUUUGCAGGUGUUUCAGCAUCAAAUCUUCAGUGCCAGGUGGCUGAAGUUACUCCAUAUAAAGAUUCAGCACAGUUGUGAAGGCUGCAGCACUUGGCAGAAGGUGGUAGAACCAGUUUCACAGAGUGCCAAAAGGCUCCUGCUGCCUGGUGGUUUGGAGUUUGGCCUUCAGAGGAGCCCAGUACCGAGUGACAAACUGGUGCACGUGUUCCGCGUGUCAGAGUGACAAACAUGCACGGUGGGAGUGACAAGAGCCAGGACACUGCAUGCUGGACAGAGGAAAAGAUUUUCUCUCUGUUUCCUGCUUCACAGUAGAU